GCGGUGAUGACGCUUUUGGUUUUGAUCAGCGAUGAAAACACCCGACCAAUUCCUCUAAGAAGUUCUGAGCUC